ACCGGAUAGGACGAAAGUUUAAAGGUGCUUCGGCACCACUGAUGGAUGAGCCUGCGGCGCAUUAGCUAGUUGGUAGGGUAAAGGCCUACCAAGGCGACGAUGCGUAGCCGACCUGAGAGGGUGAACGGCCACACUGGGACUGAGACACGGCCCAGACUCCUACGGGAGGCAGCAGUAGGGAAUCUUCGGCAAUGGGCGAAAGCCUGACCGAGCAACGCCGCGUGAAUGAUGAAGGCCUUCGGGUUGUAAAAUUCUGUUAUAAGGGAAGAAUGGCUCUAGUAGGAAAUGGCUAGAGUGUGACGGUACCUUAUGAGAAAGCCACGGCUAACUACGUGCCAGCAGCCGCGGUAAUACGUAGGUGGCGAGCGUUAUCCGGAAUUAUUGGGCGUAAAGAGCGCGCAGGUGGUUGAUUAAGUCUGAUGUGAAAGCCCACGGCUUAACCGUGGAGGGUCAUUGGAAACUGGUCAACUUGAGUGCAGAAGAGGGAAGUGGAAUUCCAUGUGUAGCGGUGAAAUGCGUAGAGAUAUGGAGGAACACCAGUGG
rnacentral:rRNA from 1 species